ACUGAUAAUGCUGUCUGCCACCUUGUACGAUUUACGCGUGAACGGGUAGUAUGUAACACGUAAGGAAUCUACCUAUAAGCGGGGGAUAACAUUCGGAAACGGGUGCUAAUACCGCAUAAUAUCUUCUUCCGCAUGGAAGAAGAUUGAAAGACGGCUCUGCUGUCACUUAUAGGAUGACCUUGCGGUGCAUUAGUUAGUUGGUGGGGUAACGGCCUACCAAGACGAUGAUGCAUAGCCGACCUGAGAGGGUGAUCGGCCACAUUGGGACUGAGACACGGCCCAAACUCCUACGGGAGGCAGCAGUAGGGAAUCUUCCGCAAUGGGCGAAAGCCUGACGGAGCAAUGCCGCGUGAGUGAAGAAGGCCUUCGGGUCGUAAAACUCUGUUAUAAGAGAAGAACAAAUUGUAGAGUAACUGCUACAGUCUUGACGGUAUCUUAUCAGAAAGCCACGGCUAACUACGUGCCAGCAGCCGCGGUAAUACGUAGGUGGCAAGCGUUGUCCGGAUUUAUUUGGGCGUAAAGGGAGCGCAGGUGGUUUCUUAAGUCUGAUGUGAAAGCCCACGGCUUAACCGUGGAGGGUCAUUGGAAACUGGGAAACUUGAGUACAGAAGAGGAAUGUUGGAACUCCCUGUGUAGCGGUGGAAUGCGUAAUUUUGGAAAACACCAGUGGGAAGGCACUUCUGUCUGUUACUGACACUGAGCUCAAGGUGGGACAAGAUUAAACCCUGGUUUCCAGCAAAAAUUGUUGGUUGGGUUCCCUCGCCCUAUACCUCGGGAACCGGUUAUAAAUUGGCUUGGGGUUUUAUGCAACC
rnacentral:rRNA from 1 species